rnacentral:lncRNA from 1 species
AAAAAGUCAUUAAAUGAUUUCAGUGCAGAUGGGGUCUGGUUAUUGUGCGGUCAUAUAACUUUAGAUACGAAUCUGGCCAUAUAGAUCGGCAUGUAGGCGAGGAUGCCCCGGGCUUCUCUCCCUGGGGCGGUCCUAAUUCAUACCAUAAAAAAAGUCCACUGGGUCAUAUAGUUUGGCAUGUAGGCCAGGUCACCUUGGGCUUCUCUAGCUGGGGCAGCCUUAAUCCACAUCACCCGUAGAGCUGGGGUGCAGCACUCCCCCCCCCCACCCCGGUUCAUGGAUGUGCUCACUCACCUGGAAGCUUCCCCAACCCCCUACUCUUGGGCUUUUAAUAGAGGCUUCCUCAUGUAGCCAUGAUCAGUUAUUGGCUCCAUUUCCAGCCCCUAUCCCCUCUCCAUGAGAAGGGGAGAGUGGAGCAGUGCUGAAAAUUCCAAGCUUCUAAUUAUGGCUUGGUCUUUCUGGUGACCACCCUCCAUCCAGGAGCCCACCAGAGUCGCCUCAUUGGACAAAAGAUGCUCCCAGUACUCUUAUCACUUAGGGAUUUACAGGGGUCUUAGGAGCUCUGUGCCAGGAACCAGGGGCAGAGACCAAUAUAUAUAUUCUCUGUUAUCUCACAUUUGUGCACUUGGUGUGCACACACAUAUCUUUUUCUCCCGUUAGACUAUAACUCAGUGCUUCUCAGCCUCAGCACUCUUCGUAUUUUGGACCAAAUACUUCUUUGUUGUGGGGGGAGGGGAGGCCGUUCUGUGCUUUGCAGGAUUUUUUAGGAGAAUCCUUGCCCUCUACCCACCAGACGCCAGCAGCACACCCCUCUCAAGUUGUGACAAUCAAAGAUAUCUCCAGACUUUGCUAAACGUCCCCUGGUGGAAAAAAAUCACUCCCUCACCCCCUGCAGUUGAGAAGCACCGCUAGGCUCCUCGAGGUCGGAGGCCACGUCUUGUAAAUUCCUGUAUCCCCUAAAAUGCAUCGCACAUAGAUGCUGCCACAGGUAGGCUUGAUAAGCAGCGUGUAUGUCCGCACCCGGGAUCCGAACCCACAAAACCUGAGCCGGCAAAGCAGAUCAUGUGAACUUAACCACUACGCCACAGGGCCAGCCCUGCCAUUGCUUUUAAAUACAAAGAAAAACAUCAACUCAUGAAAAAAAAGCCAGACAUUGUCCAUCUGCCUACAGAAUUUGCAUAGGCGAACCACAUGUCUAAGAUUUAUUGAGUCUCCACAGAAACCAGUUUAAGAUGACGAGCACAUCCAAUAUUUGCAGAGCGUCCAGUUGCUCACACAGCACGGUCACGUCCCUCUGCCCCGCACCGAGGUGCUAAUCGGGAUAAUUCUUCAGCCAUGAGCAGCUCAGAGGAGUGUCAUGUUUUUUGGAAUGGUGGCAGCUUCUACCAGGGCUGACCUAGGAGAUGCUGGGCCCAAGUCUGGCUGGAAGAAAUCACGGGGAGAGAAUGUCUUAGCAGUUCUGCUCCGGUGGGUUUGAGAAAGAGGCGGAAGACUGACCUUUUCUGAAGGCGGCGUUGGAGAGUCGGUGUGGCCUUGAGAAAUACACACGGCCAGAAAUGGUGUGAUCCUGCUCCAAACAGCUGGGCUCACCCUUGGGCUUCAUGAACCUCACACAGGAGGUUUCAACUGAAGUAAACUUAUGACCUUUCCAUCAGUUCCCUUGAUAGAGUCUGUGCACUCUGUGAUCACUGUAAGAAUGAAGGAUGAGCCCGCACUUCUUUCCACUCGUAAAGGCCACAGCAUUAGCUUCAUCCUACCACACCGCUUCACAUUCUUCCGACUUUCAAGAGCUCCACUGAUGGAAGAGGGAACUGACCCGUGAGGAAAGCAACAGUCAUCUCAUCCAUCCUCAUUCAUCUCAAAUAUGUUAAAUGUUUGGUACUUUUUCUUAUAAACUGUUUCUCUCCAUCAUCUUGUAUUCUAUGUUCUUGUCUUGAGACUUCUCCCAUUAAACCAUCAUUUAGUAUACUGUUUUCUUCGUCUCAACUUCUUCAGAAGUCUAAUAAGCACCAAGAAGAGAGUAUCCAUAAGAUUAGUAUUUCAACCCC